CUAGCCAGAGUUACACAGUGAGACCCUGUCUUAAAAAUACUAAUAUUUGUCCAAGAACUCGUGAACUGAAAGGAUGUUAACCUUCAGUUUUCUUGAUAAGAGAAUGCUUGCUAUUGUUAAAGCAAAUAACCCUUAGUGAAGUGUUGACAUUUCAUUCCGACCAAGCCCGGGUGCUCAGGGAAAGAACGAAAAUGCCCACCUACAGGGAAGACGUUAAUUUACUAGUAAUUUUGAGGUAAAGGUCGAAUCCAACCAACCCUUCCUGGCUGGUUUCUGCUUCCCUCGGUCCCUUCGGAACCUCUGUGCCUCUGCCUCAGGGGGACCUGAAAUUCAGUGGAGAGGAGGGAGCUCUGCAUUGUGAACACAGCCGGCAACGCCUUUGUCUUUGUAACACCAACGGCUUCUACCAAAAAAGUAUUUUAGGAGCUGCUGGCCUGCCCAGUGUGUCAGGAGCCUCUGCCUUCUGAGAAGGGAGGAGACGGCUGAAUGACCAUGACUCACUCUUUUUCCAUAGGAGAAAAAAAAAAAAAAAAAAGGACCUAAAGCAGGGUGUGGGACUUAACUUUCAUUUUCCUAUGACUAAAGUUUUCCCAACAGAGAGACAUUGUAGACAGUUACCCUGGGAUGGAUUCUAGCCAAAAAAAAAAAAAAAAAAA
rnacentral:lncRNA from 1 species